UGAAAAGAGGGUGAAAAGACUGAAACCGUCAUGGGGGAAGCGGAUUGCGUUGAGUAAAAGGGAUGUUGUGUGUUCAGCCUUUGAGGUGCAUUGGCGCAACAACCCGAUCUGUCGUGGGUUCUGCGCGGUUGAUUUUGAACCGUGCAGGGCUGAGGGCUCCCUUUUAUAGGUGAGGACGAUUAGAUAGUGACGCGAUACGACCCGUCUUGAAACACGGACCAAGGAGUCUAGCGCUACUGCGAGUCAAAGGGUGCAAGCCUGAGGGCGCAGUGAAAGCGAGUUUGAAAACGAGCAGUUUGGGGCGGCAUGAGAUUGUUAAUUUCAAGUCCGACCUUGAGCAGUUGCGCUGGGACCCGAAAGAUGGUGAACUAUGCCGGAGUAGGGCAAAGCCAGAGGAAACUCUGGUGGAGGCUCGUAGCGGUGCUGACGUGCAAAUCGCUCGUCUGACUUGGGUAUAGGGGCGAAAGACUAAUCGAACCAUCUAGUAGCUGGUUCCCUCCGAAGUUUCUCUCAGGAUAGCGGGCCGACGGGUGUUGUUUUGUGUGGUAAAGCGAAUGAUUAGCGCACUCGGGGGCAAUAUGCCUUUGGGCGAUUCUCAAACUUUCAAUACGCAAGGGUGCCGCUGCUUGGUUGAGCGGCACCGGCAAAAACGUCGGCCCUGUGGGCCACUUUUGGUAAGC
rnacentral:rRNA from 1 species